ACUGGGUGUGGUGACUCACACCUGUAAUUCCUGCAGCUUGGGAGGUUGAGGCAGGAGGAUCACAAGUUUGAGGCCAGCCCCAGUAAUUUAGCAAGGCCAUAAGCAACUCAGCAAGACCUUGUCUCAA
rnacentral:sRNA from 1 species